rnacentral:lncRNA from 12 species
AAAUACGAUACUUACAAGGGCCCCCAGGGCUGGGGCUGGGGGGAGCCAUUGCCCCCCACCCAGACUCUGAACAUCUUGCAUAAAAGAAGUAAGCACUUACCCGGCGGCCCAGCACGCUACAAGUUUCUAAGUUAUUUAUAAAAAGGCAGCUGAAGUCUAGAGACUUUUUAACGGGCGGAGGUGUGUUCUGCAGACUAAGAAUAGCUGACAGGAGCUUUCUGGUGACAUCAGAGCACAGCAGCAGCUUGGGGAGGGGGGGGGCUGUGGUUUUCUCCAGCUUAGCAACAAUUGCCCAUGCAGGCUCACCCGGUUCCUCCAGACAGGGCCCGCCGAAGGGCCUGCCCCAGGAGAGGUUUAAGAGACAGCCCAGAGUGGACAUAUGGGAAGGGUGCCCGGUCAGCAGGAGCCCGCCCUGAGCUGUGCUGAGUCAGCACAGGAGCGGUGAGGCUCUGGACCCACCUCCUACCCGCGCCCCCCAGCCUGCCUGUGCC